ensembl:lncRNA
CUUGGAACUGCUCCAGUUUGCAAACUCCUCCCUUCCACCCUGAUGUUCUCUGCUUGUGUUUGCACUGUACUGACAGCUACCAAGUGUCCAUGCUGUUGGUGAGCUGAGGGCUUUCUCUUAUGGAUGUGGGAAUAGUGAUGCUUGGAUGGGGUGCCACCGAGAUGUCAGUGUCUCUUCCCAACAGGGCGGGGAGAGGAGGGAACAAAAUCAACAUAACAUCUGACUUGGACAACACACUGAAUGACUGAAGAGCAGGAGCAGAUUGGAUUUGGGCUCCACUUGAUCCAACAAAGAAGCCUUGGAUUUUGAUUCACACACUUGAUAAGAAAGAAAAGAAAAAGAAGCCAGCUUUGGGAAUGAGUACCUUCCCAAUUUACGGUGAUCCAGCUCAGUGUUCCCUUUCAGCACAGGAGUGAACCACAAAUGCUUGAGCAGCAAAAAGUUUUCUUAAAAACAAAGAAAACAGACAUUCAGGCAUGAAGAAAACCACUCCAGUUGUCUUAGAAAGAAAGGACUUUGUGGCCCCAAAGGAUACUUGAGGAUUUUUUCUAAGCCUCUAGCAACUUGGUCUGCAUGAUUUAGCUGCAGUGGAAGCCUGGUGUUGCUGCACAGCCUAUUACACCUACUGAAAGUGACCCUAGCACAGUUAAUAUACUGCAACGAUCAUAUUUUUCACAGUUUUACUGCUGUUGACAGCCACUGGAUUGCAGGCUGUUGCCCCAACCCCAUGUCAUCUUCAUGCUGCCACUGCACAUGGCAGUCACCUGCACUGCAGUGCUUUUGUGUGCAUAUGAUCAAGAGCAAUGAGUGGUGGGAGGUGCAUUGAUGUAACAUGAACACAAUCUCUGCAGGAUUAAUGAUAUUCUUGGCUUCCACAGUUAGUCCUUUACAAUUUAUGACAAUUUUGAUUUAUCUCCCAUCUUUACGCUUACUUUGGGGUUCCUGGCUGCGCCUUCAGGAGAAAAAAAAAUUCUGCAGAGAGAAGCUGUGGUGCAUCAUGAAUCCCAGUUUCUUUUGCACGACCAAGUAGGGAGGGUCUAUUUUAAACAUCUGGCCCAGGAUCCUUUCUAGAGCGCUCUGAGUUG